AUGGCCCUGCUGGUUCUUUCAGCUAGCUCGGCAGCGGUGGCUCAACUGAAUAUCGGCUUCUACAGAAAGACAUGCCCCGACACCGAGAAGAUCGUCCGCCAGGAGAUGGCCAAGAUCAUCACCUCCGCGCCCAGCCUCGCCGGUCCGCUCCUCCGUCUCCAUUUCCACGACUGCUUCGUCAGGGGUUGUGACACCUCUGUCCUGCUCGCAUCCACCGACGACAACGUGGCGGAGAAGGACGCCAAGCUGAACAAGAGCCCGCGAGGGUCCGGCUCCGUGGAGCGCGUGAAGGCCAAGCUCGAGGCCACGUUGGUGCUGGGCAGACGAGACGACAGGGUGUCAAGCGCCACGGAGGCCAGCAGCGAGCUGCCCCCGGCCUCCGGCGACGUCCCCCUGCUCGCCAAGAUCUUUGCCUCCAAGGGCCUCGACCUCAAGGACCUUGUCGUCCUCUCCGGCGCCCACACGCUCGGCACGGUGCACUGCCCGUCUUUUGCCGACCGGCUCUACAACAACACUGGCGAGAAUGCCCUCGUCGACCCAUCUCUGGACAGCGAGUACGCCGACAAGCUGAGGAUCAAGUGCAAGAGCGUUGAUGACCGCACUAUGAUGUCAGAGAUGGACCCGGGGAGCUUCAAGACCUUUGACACCAGUUACUACCGCCACGUCGCCAAGCGGAGGGGCCUCUUCCGCUCCUACGCCGCGCUCCUCUUCGGCGCCACCACCAAGGACUACGUGCAGUGCAUCGCCACGGGCAAGUUCCACGGUGAGUUCUUCAGGGACUUCAGCGAGUCCAUGAUCAAGAUGGGCGACGUUGGCGUGCUCACCGGGACCAAGGGAGAGAUCAGGAAGAAAUGCUACGCCCCCAACUAG
rnacentral:rRNA from 1 species